UUGCCCAGUUUUCCCAUUUUAGAUUUUAUGGCGUUCAAACUAAAAUUUUAUAGUGUUUUAAGUUUGAGCCAGAUGCUUAUGAUGGCCCAUUAAGAGCUAAGGUGCCCUCAAUUGGAUUGUGUUUUCAACAAUUUGAUGGAGAUUGUAACUGCUAAACCCUGUCUCCCGUUUAUUCACGUGUAUCGCAAUGACAAUCCACUUGGCACACUUUGGGCUGGUCCAAAUCUGUGUGGAGGCUGGGGAAGGAAGGGCCUCUUUUAGAGGGUAGUGCUUAUCUGGUUGCCCUGCUCUAGCCCUUGGGCAGCACCUUCAGUGUGACUUUUAUGUGGAUGGUGGCCUUUCCUGUGCUGCUGGCAUUGUCCUCCAUGUGAUUGUGAUGUUUUGCCUGCAGGCGUUUCUAGCCUGCAAGGGAGCACAGCUUGAGGCAUAAGGAAACAGAUACAGAUCAGGUGCAGCUCCCAUGGGAGACCCGAUUACUCUCAGGAGCCUAGACAACGACUGCUGCUACUUCCUGCACCUGGAGAUUCAGGGGGGUCUCCUUUCCCUGGCAGUUUUGCCACUGGCUUCGGAGCAACUGGAUUUGAAAGCUGAUGGCUGAGGCUGACUAACAGACUUCUCCAGAGUAAUCCAUAGCAAGCAAUUUAAAACCAAAGGAAUGGGGUGCUGAAUAGACUGUCUGGAAUCCAACCAUUUUUUGUGAGGAGCUGCAGCCCUAUAGAAUGGGUGACAGUGUCUUUUGGGAGUACAGGUAAGUAUUGCAUUACUGGGGCCAGCAGAUUAGAGAGUUGGUUUCUGCAAAUCAAGGAGCUCUAGUACCAAGGAGUUAAAAAGCUUUGGGAAAGUAUCUCAGCUUAAAAUUGUUAGUCAUGUUAUUUGAAGUAGAGGAUUCUCAACUUUUGUUCCUUCAGCUUUAUGAAAAGAUGAGCAGUGACCCCAAUGACUAUUAUUUUAUGCUAAAUCUCAUUAUUUCAUUGGCAAGACAAAGAGAAUGGGCUGAGGGCAAACCAACACUAUGACUUGUUUCUGAAUGAGCUGGUUCUGAGCUCAUCUGAUGAACAUGAAAAUAUUGUGACAUUAUGAACUGACCCUUGAAUGUUUUGAGUUUUACAAAUGCUAAAUAUGCAUUGUUCAAACUGGAUAGGGUAGUUAAAGAGCCCCUAUUCCAUCAGCCUGUGGACAUUACCAAAUAAGCCUACACCUUCAGAGCAAAUUCUAGAGAUUCCCUGAGGGAGAUUUCUUGAAGCAAAAGUUUGUUAAAGUGACAUUUUUGUUUACUUUCUUGGUUAGCAGUAUUUAGCCAUACUAGAAAAGCUAUGAUAUAUCUUUUGCCAUUUCCAUCCAUGUACACGUGUCAGUUUGGAAUCUCUCUAUUGGUAAAAACUAAAAAUCUGAACCAUUCAAUGAUGUAAGAUAUCAUCUUUGUCUUAAACUAAGAUACUAGAGCUGAUUUUCUCUUUUAAAA